rnacentral:rRNA from 1 species
UUUAUUGGUAUAGGAGGAGUCUGCGGCACAUUAGCUAGUAGGUGAGGUAAAGGCUUACCUAGGCGACGAUGUGUAGCCGGUCUGAGAGGAUGAACGGCCACAAUGGAACUGAGACACGGUCCAUACUCCUACGGGAGGCAGCAGUGGGGAAUAUUGCACAAUGGGGGAAACCCUGAUGCAGCAACGCCGCGUGAGUGAAGAAGGUUUUCGGAUUGUAAAGCUCUGUUAGCAGGGAAGAGGAAGGACGGUACCUGCAGAGGAAGCCACGGCUAACUACGUGCCAGCAGCCGCGGUAAUACGUAGGUGGCAAGCGUUGUUCGGAAUAACUGGGCGUAAAGGAUGCGUAGGCGGCUAAACAAGUUAUAUGUUAAAUAUAUAGGCUUAACCUG